rnacentral:rRNA from 1 species
GGUUCGAUCCUGGCUCAGAUUGAACGCUGGCGGGAUGCUUGCAAGGCGCAAGUCGAACGGCAGCACGGACUUCGGUCUGGGUGGCGAGUGGCGAACGGGUGAGUAAUGUAUCGGAACGUGCCUAGUAGCGGGGAUAACUACGCGAAAGCGUAGCUUAAUACCGCAUACGCCCUUCGGGGAAAGCGGGGGACCUUCGGGCCUCGCACUUAUUAGGAGCGGUCGACAUUUGAUUAGCUAGUUGGUGGGGUAACGGCUCACCAAGGCGACGAUCCUGGCUGGUUUGAGAGGACGACCAGCCACACUGGGACCGAGACACGGCCCAGACUCCUACGGGAGGCAGCAGUGGGGAAUUUUGACAAUGGGGAACCCUUGAUCCAGCCAUCCCGCGUGUGCGAUGAAGCGCCUCUCGGGUUGUAAAGCACUUUUGGCAGGAAAGAAACGGCACGGGAUAAUACCUCGUGCAACUGACGGUACCUGCAGAAUAAGCACCGGCUAACCGCCGUGCCAGCAGCCGCGGUGGCUGCUGAAAAGCGUUAAUCGGAAUUACUGGGCGGAAGCGUGCGCAGGCGGUUCGGAAAGAAAGAUGUGAAAUCCCAGAGCUUAACUUUGGAACUGCAUUUUUAACUACCGAGCUAUGGUGUCAGAGGGGAGGUGGAAUUCCGCGUAUAGCAGUGAAAUGCGUAGAUAUGCGGAGGAACACCGGAUGGCGAAGGCAGCCUCUCGGGAUAACACUGACGCUCAUGCACGAAAGCGUGGGGAGCAAACAGGAUUAGAUACCCCGGGUAGUCCACGCCCCAAACGAUGUCAACUAGCUGUUGGGGCCUUCGGGCCUGGUAGCGCAGCUAACGCGUGAAGUUGACCGCCUGGGGAGUACGGUCGCAAGAUUAAAACUCAAAGGAAUUGACGGGGACCCGCACAAGCGGUGUGGAUGAUGAUUGACUCGAUGCAAACGCGAAAAACCUCACUCACCCUUGACAUGUCUGGAAUCCCGGAAGAGAUUUGGGAGUGCUCGCAAGAGAACCGGAACACAGGUGCUGUAUGGCUUGCCGUCAGCUCGUGUCGUGAGAUGUUGGGUUAAGUCCCGCAACGAGCGCAACCCUUGUCGGCUAGUUGCUACGAAAGGGCACUCUCGAGACUGCCGGUGACAAACCGGAGGAAGGUGGGGAUGACGUCAAGUCCUCAUGGCCCUUGCGGGUAGGGCUUCACACGUCAUACAAUGGUUUGUCGGGACAGAGGGUCGCCAACCCGCAGGGGGAGCCAAUCCCCCGAAACCCGAUCGUAGUCCGGAUCGCAGUCUGCACCUGACUGCGUGAAGUCGGAACUGCCAGUAAUCGCGGAUCAGCAUGCUCGCAGAAUACGUUCCCGGGUCUUGUACACACCGCCCGUCACACCAUGGGAGUGGGUUUUACCAGAAGUAGUUAGCCUCAACCUCGCAAGGGGGCGAUUACCACGGUAGGAUUCAUGACUGGGGUGAAGUCGUAACAAGGUAA